rnacentral:rRNA from 1 species
CCUACGGGUGGCAGCAGUGGGGGAUAUUGCACAAUGGGGGAAACCCUGAUGCAGCGACGCCGCGUGUAGGAAGACGGUCCUCUGGAUUGUAAACUACUGUCCCCAGGGACGAAGAUGACGGUACCUGGGGCGGAAGCUCCGGCGAACUACGUGCCAGCAGCCGCGGUAAUACGUAGGGAGCGAGCGUUGUCCGGAAUUACUGGGUGUAAAGGGAGCGUAGGCGGGGAUGCAAGUUGGGUGUUAAAUCUACCGGCUCAACUGGUAGUCGCACUCAAAACCGCAGCUCUUGAGUGAAGUAGAGGCAGGCGGAAUUCCUAGGGUAGCGGUGAAAUGCGUAGAUAUUAGGAGGAACACCAGUGGCGAAGGCGGCCUGCUGGGCUUUUACUGACGCUGAGGCUCGAAAGUGUGGGGAGCAAACAGGAUUAGAUACCCUGGUAGUC